CCUACGGGAGGCAGCAGUGAGGAAUAUUGGUCAAUGGACGCAAGUCUGAACCAGCCAUGCCGCGUGCAGGAAGACGGCUCUAUGAGUUGUAAACUGCUUUUGUACGAGGGUAAAUCCCGAUACGUGUAUCGGGUUGAAAGUAUCGUACGAAUAAGGAUCGGCUAACUCCGUGCCAGCAGCCGCGGUAAUACGGAGGAUUCAAGCGUUAUCCGGGUUUAUUGGGUUUAAAGGGUGCGUAGGCGGUUCGAUAAGUUAGAGGUGAAAGCCCGGGGCUCAACUCCGGCACUGCCUCUGAUACUGUCGGGCUAGAGUGUAGUUGCGGUAGGCGGAAUGUAUGGUGUAGCGGUGAAAUGCAUAGAGAUCAGACAGAACACCGAUUGCGAAGGCAGCUUACCAGACUACGACUGACGUUGAGGCACGAAAGCGUGGGGAGCAAACAGGAUUAGAUACCCCAGUAGUC
rnacentral:rRNA from 1 species